AGAUCCGCCUUCAUUCUGACUGCCCUGGAGGCAAAGCCAGCCAAUGCCCUUCUCCUGCUUUCCCGGGUCACCACCUGGGCUCUCCUGAAGGGAUUCUGCUGAUAAUCAAGGUGAAUGAGCAAACAGCACAGAAAAAGAAACAGCAGUAUAUGUGGAAGAAAGCAAGAAAAAUCAACUGGCCUGGAACCUAAGACUUGUCCAAAGAUGUCACAGAGAGUAAAAUGAGAAAAAUCCAGUAGCCCGUGCCCAGAGCAGUUCCUCGUACCCAGCAGAAGGCUAACAAGCCCUGAGAUGAAUGAUGCUCUUCCCAAGGAAGGCAGAGGAGGCGACAGUCCAUUUGCGUUCUCUCCUCUGCAAGUACAGGAUCUCGUUUGAUUCUCAAAACCACCCUAGAGGAGACAGGAGGCACCUGAGGCCCAGAGACGUGAAGCCACCUGUCCAAGGCCAUACAGCAGAUAACUUAUUCUGGAGGAAGACACCUGCCAUGCCGUGAGGACAGUCAAGCAGUUCUGUGGAGAGAUCCAUGUGGUGAGAAACAGGGGCCUCCUGUCAACAGGAAGAACAACCUGGCAGGCCUGUCUUGGAUUCAGAGCCUCCAGCCCCAGUCGAGCCUUCAGAUAACUGCACCCUUGGCUGUCAUCUCAACUGCAAUCUCACGACAGACCCUGAGCUGGAACUACUCUGUUUACCAAUGCCUGGCCCACAGAAAGACUAUGAGAUAAAACAAGUAUAUUGUUUUUAGAAGAUAUGUUUUGGAGUAAUUUAUUAUGCUACAAUAGAUAAUACAGAAUUUGGUGAUUUUAUGAUUCUCAACUCCUGGCCAAAGCAAAGCACACAACAAGUCUCAAAGAAAAGUCUCACAAGUGGAAUUGAAAGUACAAAGCUGGCCAGACAAGCUUGUGCAGACAUGUAUGUGGUGGAGUUGAAAAUCACACACUACGACUCACACAAGUGAGUAAAACCUGCGUCUUUCUUAAUUUUUCUUGUACUCUUCUCAUCUAGAUCUAAUGAGAUACUUCCUGCUGUUGACAGGCAAUAAAUGAAUGAACGACAAAAACAAAACAAAAAGAAAAGAAACAAAACAGAAAGAAAAGAAACAAAACAGAAAGAAAAGAAAGAAACAAAACAGAAAGAAAGAAAAGAAAUCUUUAACUUGCCCACUACAGGUUUCUCUAUUUCUGCAUGUUCAAGCAAAUCUCCUUUCAGCAAAA
ensembl:lncRNA LINC01819 long intergenic non-protein coding RNA 1819